UACGGGGGGGGCAAGCGUUGUUCGGAAUUACUGGGCGUAAAGGGAGCGUAGGCGGACAUUUAAGUCAGGGGUGAAAUCCCAGAGCUCAACUCUGGAACUGCCUUUGAUACUGGGUGUCUUGAGUGUGAUAGAGGUAUGUGGAACUCCGAGUGUAGAGGUGAAAUUCGUAGAUAUUCGGAAGAACACCAGUGGCGAAGGCGACAUACUGGAUCAUUACUGACGCUGAGGCUCGAAAGCGUGGGGAGCAAACAGG
rnacentral:rRNA from 1 species